rnacentral:misc_RNA from 1 species
CUAGUACGGCUGCCUCCCCGGAUUAGUAUUACGCAAGGCGCCGCUCCUCAAAAUACGCCACAAGGGGCUUCUAUUUCAAAGCUGUAACUCUAUCACUAUGAGCCUCGCAUCGAAUAUGGAAGAAAUCUCGAUAGAGCUGGGCAGCGACCACGACUCUCUGUAUGACGACUCUCUAUUCGAAGAAGCCGACGACGAUGACGACGACUUUGUCUUUUCAAGCAAGUCUGUUCCGCUCGUCAAGGAAUUGAUGAAGCGGCUUCUCAAGGUGUACAGCAGUUUGAAGGAGAAGAGUACAGUUGUGGAGAACGAGAUGGCAGGUGCAACGAGCUCUACUAAUGAAGAGGAGGCCGCCCCCACACCAGCUCUCACUAGCAGUGCCAUCGCCGAGCGCGAAAACGCGCUGCUGAGUCUACUUGAGCUGCAAGAGUUAUAUGGCUUCUUGUGGGCAAGGCUACUGUGUGUAUUGGAUGAGGAAAAUGAGCGCUGCUCAGACUCCUACAUGGCAACGCUGAACAUGCAGGACCGGGUGCCCUUCGAGUCACUUGCUAAUGCAAUCCACCACAAUACUGUUUUCUGUGAUCACAUGGGCGAGGUCCUCGGCCUGAACUACGAGCAGCAGCUCAACAGGGAAGAAGCGAGGAACGCUGUGGGUCGCGAUCUAAUUCUUGAAUUUUACACCCGAAUGGAGCGCACACAGCGCACUGCCUCGCACUGCGCGCUAUUGGUGGUAGAGGGCUCGCGCGAGAGCUUCCUUGAUCCAAUCUCUAUGUACGACUUGUGUAAGGUGCUCGCUACGGAGAAGAAUCCUCGCAAGCGGCUUGUUCCGCUAUCGCUCAUGUUCAGCAUGCUCGAUCAAGACGAGCAAACUGUAUCGGAAGCGCUAGCACAGAAUAUGCCGAAGGUGCUGCUGCAGCGCUUUCGUCACUGGGUCCAUCAGCUAUAUGGGUACUUCCCGCUUCACAGGGAAACCACGUUGACUUCGCGCUCCCAGAGAAGGUCGCCGCAGCGGUACCGGUCGGCCGCUGUGCCCAGCGACAUGGACUCACACCCCACCUCGCGCCGGUCCUCGCCAGGCCGAUCACCUAUUUUUACGCAGCAGCAAGUGCAAGAAGUGGCAAUCGAUGAAGCAAGCGAAGCCUCGCCGGUGGUUAAAACCGCCCCAGACUCGCCGCUGCCGCGCUCCGCCGAGCCAACUUUCACAGCCGAGGCCUCGCCUCCCGAACCUACAGGGAAUGGUGUGCGGAAGCGGCAACGGCUCGACCGGAGUGUAACGCCGCAGGAUACUAAGAAUGCGCGCCAUGAAGGUCCCGCUGAGGUAGAGUUAUACCUCGAUGGAUGGAUUCCGAAAGCCGGAGACCGAGUUGGGCGUGGCCCAGGCUGGAAAAGCGGCCAGCAAGGAAAAGGUUGCGACUACGGUGUUGUGGAGGGAUGCACAGAAAACGAGGUGCUUGUGCGCUGGGUUCCGAGCCUAGAUCAGCCGGCGGCAGGGGAGCAAGACCGCCUUUUUCUGUACCAGUUUGGCUCGCCGCACUACGAGGUAGUUUCAUGGGAAACGUACCUGCGCGUGAAAACGCUGAAUGUGACGCGGGCGGACAUCCGGAUGCUGGAGCUGCUUCAGAUCGGUAUCGUGGCCGGUAUUCUGUGUCAGCAGAAUGAUGCCAUUCUUCCUGUUUUGCAGUUUCAGACGAUUGAGUCUGCGCUCAAGGUACUGGACUCCAUCGACAUCCGUGCCAGAUUUCUUGAGAACGAGCAAGCGCGCGAAGCUGCAGAGCGCUCCGUGCGCCAAACACUCGCCGAACACAACACAAACGAAGCCACGGAAGAAGAGAUGGUGCGCAGUCUCCUGCAGUGGGAUGUGAACCUCAUUUCAAUGAAACGCUGCUACCGCCUGGAGCGUGAGAUGCUGGCCCGCAUUGGGUGGGUGCUCAGUGCGAUCCUAUCCCACAAGAAGCUGGCGUUUCUCUUUCUAGAUGCGGACGGUGUGAGUCGCAUUCUGCGUCUGGUACAGGGCAAGUUAGACGUGUACACGACGUACGGUUGUGCCAUCGUCCUUUCCCAUCUGGCCAAAACUGCGGUGUUUGAGGAGCUGCUACGACGCCAGAGGAGCUACUUCGAGCCGAUCAUGCAGUUCAUCAUCGACCAGUGGAAGCACACAACAAACAGUGAUGUGCAGAGUAGUGUGGGUGCGUUUCUUUUCCACUCGUUGAGCUUUCCUAUCGUGAUAGACUACUUUGAAGCCGAAAACGGGCCAAUGGAAUCGAUCGAGGCGCUGGAACGGUGUCUCAAGAUUUCGGAAGGGCAGUUCGACGUGAUGCACAGCGACUUACUCCUCGCACUGCUGCGAUGCCUCAACAUCUACCUCGUGACGCACUUGAUGCUCUCCACCAAGGUCAUCUUCAGGAAGCACCGGGUGCUGUCGGCGCUGGUGACACAGUCGUCACGCAUCACGUCCCUUCCGCGGGAUCCGCCAACAGUGGACGCAAUCCUUGGCUUCCUCGCCGCGCCGUCGCCUGGGCUUCCUGGAGUGUCGGCCGAAAACGUGCAGAGUCUGUUGACGGCGGAGCGGCUUGGCGCCAUCCAGAAGCUCGUAGACAAAGGAAUGCACACGCUGCUUCUCCGCUGUGCCAACUUCUUCUUUGUUCAAAGUCGGUGGGACCUCCUCAUCGCAUCGCUUCAGGCGCUGUGCGCGCUGACUGUUAUCCCGUAUGUGCGCCCGCUGAUAGCCGAAGUGCGCUCGCACGAGUCUGGAAUAGCGCAGCUUCUGGCCAUUGUCAACGAUCUUGCAGUGUCGUACCAGAACCGCAACACCUCCCGUGAGGGGCACCUUCUCCCGUGCGUGGUGGCGGCGCUUCAGAUCCUCAUCCACAUUACAAAUCCACCAGCAGACGUGGCGGACGAAAGCGCUGUUGCGAACUUCAACAACGCCUGCGGCGCCUUCCGUGCUAGUGACGGCGUGCGAGCGCUCUUGGAGGUGCUCAAAAUUCGAAAGGAUGCUUCCAUGUCGGCAAAGCUCAACUACUUCCCCGUGGUGGCGCGGGCGGUGCAGUUGAUGGCGGUACUCCGGCGAUACAGCGACACGGCGGCUCUUUUCGAAGCGCUCAACAUACGAACACUGGCGCAGGACCUGUCCGCCCAGUACAGCGAUGUUCAACGUGAGUUCAUCUCCGUUGUCGGAGCCCGAAAGCUGCCAACAGAGCUUGGCCCGGCUGGGCACUUCAUGGACAACCUCAAGUCAUUCAUGCCCAGCGCCUUUGGCGGCGUGAGCCAGGCCGAUGUCGUGAAGGUUCACGCCGUUGAUCCGCUGGAGAUGGAACAGCGGCAAGCUAUUAUCGGCCGCGCGGUGGUGGACUACUCUAAAGAAUCACUGCUCCAACUCAUCGCAGAGCACCUGGACAGCGAAGGUCUCUCCGCGGCAGCAGCGGCGCUGCGGAGCGAGAGUGGCAUCAAAUCGUCCACCGCCACAGGUGCGUCAUACAGCGACGGUGUCACCGCCACCUCGAUGUCGAUCAGCGAUGCGGCCGCCAAGGGGCCGACACCUUCGCUGGACGGAGUCAUACGGUCGUACCUGCGCCAACAACAGGAGCGCUGUCCAAACCCCAUUGAAACACUGCCGCGGUUUGACCUGACGAAGAAACACGUAUAUCUACCGCUGCCCAUCCCGCUGGACGACACGCGGAACGAGUUCAACCGUCUGCUGUGGCGCCGCUGCGGCGGCAAGUUUACGCUGCGCACGCAAACAAAUGCCAACUGGCUCACGUACCGCUACCCGGCGUUUAUGUUCGACAUCACGGGGAGUGGAGAGGAGCUGCAAGGGGAGAGCGUGGCGUUCUGCGAUGGUGGUGACUCCAUCAUGAUUGGAACCUCUGAGGGCUCCAUUGCUCUCUUCGACACCUUCCCUGAGGAGACGCCGGACGAGAAGCUGCUCGAGCAGCACCUGGUCUUUGAGAAUGAGGCCAUCUCAGCCCUCGUCGUGUCCGACGACGGCAGCCUCAUCGCAGCCGUCAAUGACUCUCACAAGGCUCACGUGAUGCGCCGCAACCUACUGCCAGUGGCGCAGCAGGAGCUGACGGAGUGUCGCACGCUGCGCUUUUCGCGCGACAAUCGACUCGCCGUCGUCACAAGUGAGGAGGAGCAUGCCUGCCGUGUACACGACCUUGUCACCGGAGUCGAGUUGCGAACCCUGUCAGACCCGAUUUGGACAGGUGAGAACAUGGCAAACGUGGCCCUGUUCGACUGUACCUCGCAGCUGGUGCUGAACGACGCCAUCCUGUGGGACCUGCGGGCGCCCGAGAAGCCGAUGUUCCGUUUCGACCGCAUCACCGAGUCAUUCGCGAGCGUCUUCCACCCCAAAUUGCCUCUUGUCAUCAUCGACGAAAAAGUGUGGGACAUGCGAACGUGGCGCAUGAUGCAGACAGUCCCGUCGUUUCAGAAGACGACGAGCUUCCAUUGCUCGAAGGCGGGCCGAGUGUUGUACAGUUUCCGCGAGGCCUCUCGUAUCUCCGGCACGCACCUCCCCAUCGUCGCGGCAGUGGACAGCUACACCCUCGACAGCGUCUUCUCCGAGGAGGUGCGGCCCUCCUUCAAGUCCUUUGCUGUCGACCCCUCCGACCGCUACUGCGCCGCCAUUCUCGACCAAGACAUUGAUUCCGUUAUCCGGCUCUUCAGUCUCUCCGCCGGCCCGUACCCGGAUCACGGCGCCUUUGCCUCGCCCGCCGUGCAGGAGGAGCAGGAUAGCGCGAUGGACGCCGAUGAAGAAGAGAUGGAGCAGUGGUCGAUAGAGGAUGACGACUACGACACGGACGACUCGACGGACAGCAACGAUGACGAGUUCGAGGAAGAUGAAGAUGACGAUGACGACAGCUACGACGACGAGGAUGCGGAGGAGGAGUUCGAGGAAUGGGAAGAGGAAGAUGAAGAGGAGAGCAGCCCCGGGACGGGAUCGGGUUCUGACGAGCAGGAAGGCACCCAGGCGUCAUCUCGGCACGCCAGCUAGAACAUAUGAGGCAAUGCGAGUGCGUCGCUCUGCAUCCCCUUUCCUCUUGCCCCCACUCAUUUGCUCUCGGCCUCAGCAGUGGUGCGGUGUUGGUAUGCGGCUUUGUUAAUUUUAUAUCCCUGAUUUGUAUGGACUGUCUUGUAUGCGUGCAUGUGCGAGGGUGUGUGGUGCUGAACGGAACGACGGUGUCUCGGACAUGUUCGACUAAGGUAACUGACAUGAGCAUCAGCCUCUCUUUUCAUGUUUUUUUUUUCCUCUCGACGGCACCCCUUCUUUUCUUGCGCCUCCGUUUCUUUCGCUGUCCGUGUCCACGACAAACUUGCCUUUGUGUGCAUGUGUAUCUGCGUGCGGUCUGCUUCCCUUCCCAGAAGGUCAAGUUCAUGCUAGGAGGAAGAGCAGUUUUGGACGGAGAAGU